UACAGAGGUCUCAAGCGUUGUUCGGAUUCAUUGGGCGUAAAGAGCGUGUAGGCGGCCAGAUAGGUCUGCUGUGAAAACUCGAGGCUCAACCUCGAGCUGUCGGCGGAAACCAUUUGGCUAGAGUCCGGAAGAGGAAAGUGGAAUUCCUGGUGUAGCGGUGAAAUGCGCAGAUAUCAGGAAGAACACCCGUGGCGAAGGCGGCUUUCUGGGACGGUACUGACGCUGAGACGCGAAAGCGUGGGGAGCGAACAGG
rnacentral:rRNA from 1 species